CUGCAUAACAUAUUUAGUGUGUCAUUUAUCUUUAAUUGUAUCAUCAAAACAAAUUGAAUACAGUGAUCUGUGGUGUUACUUGUAUUGAAUGUGCUUUCUAACAUCCCAAAAUGUUGAUAUGUAUUUACUCAAUUAAGGUACUUAUUUUAUUACAUAUUAAGUGCAAGUUAAACCAGUGGUUACAAAACCAGUCAUGAAGGCACCCCUACCAGUCCAGGAUUUAGGGAUGACUUAGUUUUAGAAAAAAUACCUUAGCUACAACUGGGUAAUCCCUAAAUCCUGGAAUGGUCGGGAUGUCUUGAGGACUGGUUUGAAAACUGAAUAGUUAUAUUGUUAUUAACAUUUUUAUACAUUGGCAAUAUGAUAUAAACUUUACACUUUAUAUAUUUUGUUUUCUAUUUCCUAGCUUAUCUUAGACAAAUACAGUUGAAUGCAAACUUCUAGGUACCCAAAACAAAUAACAUUUUGCUGAUUUUCUAACUUAAAAAAAAACAUAAACACAACAUCUGCAGUAAACAAACAUAAUCUUGAAAGAUCUUUGCAAAUUGUAAUUGCCAAAUCAAUAUAUAUUUUUUUAAUAUUGAUAUAAUGCUUUGUUUUUAAGAAAUAUGUUACUAUUUACUAUACAACUAUUCUAAGUAGUACAUUUCAUGUGUUACAAACAUACAACUCUUCAGCUUAAAGGGACACUAUAGUCACCAGAACAACUACAGCUUAUUGAAUUUGUUCUGGUGAGUAGAAUCAGAGAAAAUGCAUUGUUUACAUUACAGCCUAGUGAUAACUUCACUGGCCACUCCUCAGAUGGCUGUUAGAGAUGCUUCCUGGGUCAUGGCUGCCUAAAAUGCAUCCAAACAUUCAGUGUCUCCUCCCUCUGCAUGCAGACACUGAACUUUCCUCAUAGAGAUUCAUUGAUUCAAUUAAUCUUUAUGAGGAGAUGCUGAUUGGCCAGGGCUGUGUUUAAAUCAUGCUGGCUCUGCCCCUGAUCUACCUCCUUGUCAGUCUCAGCCAAUCCUAUGGGGAAGCAUUGUGAUUGGAUCAGGCUACCACUUCUGAUGAUGUCAGCAGACUGCUUUUUUUUUUUUUUUUUUGAGGCAAACAGCAUGCAGAUCUACAGCUUAUGGCUUGAAUACAGUAAGAAUUUGCUAUAUUUAUGGAGGCAUGAGGGGCCCAGGCUGGCUAGAUGGUGGUGUUAACACUAUAGGUUCAGGAAUACAUGUUUGUGUUCCUGAUCCUAUAGUGAUCCUUUAAUUUCCAAAUCUAGCUGAUGGCAAAGAAUGGGUAGAUGACAAACAAUUCGACUUCUCUUGACUAAACCGAUUCUGAUGGAUAUCACAUCUCAAGCCAAAAUUCCAUGGAUGGCUCAACACCUUUAUCAAAGCCCCUUCUAGACAAUAGUAGAUGAGGCUCAGAUGCUCUCUUUCCUAAAUGACAACAAGCAGGAUUGUAACAAACAGAAUAAGGUUUCAAGAACACACAUGUUCUGCCCUAAAGGGGUCACAGAGGAAGUUAGGACAUGUCAUGCUGUGGACAAUAUUGAAACCUACAGGAAACUGGUGCAUAUCUUGGAUUCCUCCUACACAAAAGUAACUGGAUACAAAAACAGGAUUUGAUUGGUUGAGACUAUCUUCAUUAUGUGGCAGUGUAUCUAAAUAUGUGUUCUAUAGAAAGCAGUUUGCUAAGAGAAGACAAUAUCAAGAUAACAGGGACAACACCAUUCUUACUUUACACACAUACAGCCAAUAGAAUAGUGUAGAUAAAUAUAGACUUCUAUGCCAGAUGCUUCUCCUUUACUCACAUAACUGUAUUUGUUAUUUUAUUAAACAUAUCAUCUUUAAGUCUCUGGUAUAAGUGGAUUUUUUACAAACAGGAACGGUUAAUUUUCAAAGAAAGGCCGGAAAGGAUAUACUCACAAAUCCUGGUAUUUAGGAGCUCUUUUUACACCAAGUUUGUAUUUAUUUCUGCCAAAUAUUUAACCCCUUAAGGACUGAGCCAAAUGUACACGUUGUGAUCAAAACCAAACGUAAACAAAAACUUGAAAUUGCGCUAUAUGUCUGUUCAACCGUAAUUAACCUCUUUCAUAUUAUGUGCACCCACCCUUAUUAUAUAUAAUUUUAUUCAGGGGAAACAGGGCUUUCAUUUAACAUCAAAUAUUUAGGUAUGAAAGAUAAUUUAAUAUGAAUAAAAUAUAAAAAAAAUUGGAGAAAAUAAGAAUUAAAAUUUUUUUUUAGUUCUACGUGACAUUCUAACUGUGAAUGUCAUAAUACUGUUUGCUUUUACUGCAAUAUAAUACACAUAUUUGUAUUCAGCGAUGUCUCACGUGUAAAACAUGUACAGGUUUUAUGGUGUUGUGGGAAGUUACAUGGUCAAUUAUAGCAUGUAACAUUUUUCAGUUUUUUCACAUUGAAAUUCGCCAGAUUGGCUACGUUGCCUUUGAGACCAUAUGGUAGCCCAGGAAUGAGAAUUACCCCCA